rnacentral:lncRNA from 1 species
UCUCCCCACCUUGAGUCCCAACUCCCAACCUCAGAUAACGUCAGUGCUUGACUUGGGCAGGAGCUAAGUACCGGCACCUCAAAUGUUCUAUUGCUUGAGCUCAUGUUCCUCUUACAGAAUAUUAGCUCAAAAGUAUUGUGGAGCUCCUGCACCUAAAUAUAAACAGUAACGGCACCCAACUAGAGUACAUAGCGUGUUUUCCUUUGAGAUGGGUAUCGACAUUGCAUUACUCCUACAUCUACAUCUGAUUUUAGACUAGACUACAUUGACAACUAAACAAUCACACUGUCACAUAAUUAUUCUACCAGUAUCAUUCAUAUUCAUAUAGUAUGAAAUCCAUCAGCCAAUAGAGCAUUUGUCUCUGUAUCAAUUUACAUAUGCAUUGUCACAACAUGUGGCAUGAAUUCCCUGUACUGUAUUCCUAUUCAAAUUCAAUCAAACCAUGAUUAUUACCAAAGCCACCUUAUUGCCAUGCUGCUAUAUGCAGGUUUGUGGCUUAGCUCCCUUUAAGCAAAUAUUUAUCCCAGCCAAGAUGACUGUAUUGCAGUUUGUGAUUAUAUAUGGGCUUGUGAGAGGAGUGUGUCAACUGUGCAUGAUACACAAUGUGCCUGGAGAGAUUGAUAUUUUGUCAUCCACCUGCUUCAAAGCUGUAAAACCCAGCAGGCAGCAGCAAACGGAGAGACCUUCCGAGGCUGGAAAACCCAAACAAAGAGAGACCUUACUGGUGCUGUUUACACAUCUUUGUGGAGGAGUAUGUGGGCUUGUGUGUUUUGAUGCCACGCUCAAAUGGCUGAAGGGUUCCUGUCUCAGUGAAACGGGCUGGACUGGGCCACAGCACCUGAGCUGGGAGGACUGGGAGAAGAGAUGGUAGAGGGCAGCUCCACAGACUGGAGGAGUGCAAACAGGCCUCAAACAGGUAGGGAGCCGUGCCAAGUCUCCUUGCCAGUGUCCGUCGUGCCCGCUAACGUUCAUCGUCUGUCGGUUU